rnacentral:rRNA from 1 species
AUUGAACGCUGGCGGCAUGCUUUACACAUGCAAGUCGAACGGUAACAGGCCGCAAGGUGCUGACGAGUGGCGAACGGGUGAGUAAUGCAUCGGAACGUGCCCAGUCGUGGGGGAUAACGCAGCGAAAGCUGCGCUAAUACCGCAUACGAUCUAUGGAUGAAAGCGGGGGACCGUAAGGCCUCGCGCGAUUGGAGCGGCCGAUGUCAGAUUAGGUAGUUGGUGGGGUAAAGGCCUACCAAGCCAACGAUCUGUAGCUGGUCUGAGAGGACGACCAGCCACACUGGGACUGAGAAACGGCCGAGACUCCUACGGGAGGCAGCAGUGGGGAAUUUUGGACAAUGGGCGCAAGCCUGAUCCAGCAAUGCCGCGUGCAGGAAGAAGGCCUUCGGGUUGUAAGCUGCUUUUGUACGGAACGAAACGGUCCGGGUUAAUACCCUGGGCUAAUGACGGUACCGUAAGAAUAAGCACCGGCUAACUACGUGCCAGCCGCCGCCGUAACAC